GACACAAACAGCUUCAAGUCACUGCAGCUAUUCCAACUUUAGCCAUAAAAUGCAGCAAACACUUUAUGUUGGCUCAAAGGUGUUGUACAUUUUGGGCCCAGGUAAGUGUUAUAUGCUUGUAAUGCUUAAACACAACUCCAAACUCUCACAUUUGUUUCCCAGUUCCCCUACUCCCCUGCACCUUGCACAACACAACACAACGCAAAGCCCGACCUUCUCCGUCCGUGCACUACUUUCAGAUACACAGCAAGCAGGUUUAUAUGAUUUAGAAGUGAUCGGAAAAGAAACCAAGUGAAAACAAGUCAAAAAGAGGUCAAAUUGAAGAAAACGAAAAAAAGUGGCUAAAUCUGCAAAAAUGGGCCAGAUCUGCAAUUCCGAAAAUCAGUGGCUAUUUUGUUCUAAUUUUGAUUGGGAAAAUUGUGGGACUAUAAAAGGAAGAUAAGAGAGAAAAUAUAGUUUUAUGUUUGGCCAUUUUACGAGCUUUGGAGCUGGGAUUUUUAUACCACACCUUUAGAGGAGAAGAUUGGAGCUCUUUAAUGAUAAAUUUCUUAACCCUUUCUUCAAUUCCUUGCUUUGUAUUGCAUAUUUAAUUGUGUUGUAUUUUAUUCCAUUACUUGAAACUUGUUUAUGGAAAUAUACAUUGUUAAAGUUUUGGAUCAAACUCUUAUUUUGCUUAUGUAUUGAAUGAUUUUUAUUUUUAAUGAAGUGAAUCUUUGUUUCUUUAA